rnacentral:lncRNA from 1 species
CGGUAAUUACAUCAUAUCUAAAUGGACUAAUCAGUACUCCCUUUAAAACAAUUUCAGAGUGGAUUUUAAAAAUAGAUAUUCGCUAUUUUAAAGAGACAUCUAGAAGUAAUACAGGAAACUUGACAGUAAGGAAUGGAAAAAGAUCCUCCACUGAACACGAAUCAAGAAAGCUGAUACACGUGUAGUAAGACAGACGACAGAUAUUAAAGUGAGAAGCUGGAGGGUAUCUUUACUAGAGAUAAAGAUAAAAAGCAAAAUUGAUAAAACUUUGAAUUCACUAGGAUAAUAUAAAGUUCACAGAAGUAUAUAAGGGGAAGAGGUAAAUUCAGAAUCAUGGUUGGAGAUUCUAACACCUGAGUAACUGGUAGAAGUAAACAAGGGCACUGAGGAUUGAACAGCACCGUCAACAAACACCACCCAGCAAGUGCAGAAUACAUUGUUUUCCAGCAUGUUUAAUUUUGCUUUUAAGAUCGACUCUGAGCUAAAAUCUGUUGCCAACCCUCCUCUUUUGUUUUUUUCCCUCCCCAAAGCCCCAGUACAUAGUUGUCUGUCCUAGCUGUAAGUCAUUCUAGUUCUAAAGAUCUCACAAUGGGAAAUAUAAAAUAUUUUGAACUCACUAAUGAAAUUCAUAUCAAAUUUGAGGAGUUUGGUUAAAACAGUGCUUAAGGAGAAAUUUAUAGCCUUAAACCCUUACAUUAGAUAAGAAGAAAGGCUAAAAAAAUGAGCUAGAUAAGCAUUUACUUAAAGAAGAGAAUGAAUAGCAAAUUAAAUCUCCUUCCCCAAAUACAAGAAAUGUUAUAGAAGCAGAAUUUAAUAAAAUAGAAAACAAAUGAAAAAGAAAGUCAACAAAGCCAGUCAUUGGUUCUUUGAAACGACCGAUAAAACUGAUAACCCCCUGGAUAGAUCAAUGAAGACAAAAGAGAUAAAAGGCACAAAUAACCAAUAUCGGAAAUGAAAAAGCGGACACCACUAGAGUCUACUCACCUUCAAAAGUUCUUUUACAGAGAAACUAAUGUCCGAGAAUAUCAAGAAACAGAAGCUUCCCAGGCCCAACUUGGCUCCCUGACGUCAGAGUCUACCUUCCACCAUGGAGAUAAACAGCCAAGGACACUCGUCUGAGAAAUCCUUUGUCUCCUCCGCUGGAAGCAGCCCCAGACACAGGCUGAUGCGAAAAUGCUGACCAAGAAGUCCACGGCCCCCUGCCCUAAUUAAAACCCC